ensembl:snoRNA
UGCAUCAGUGAUGAUGACUGGUGAUGGGUGAGUCAUGAACGAUACAUAGUGCGUGUCUGGAUACUGAGGUCCAA